GGGAGUUGGGGGUAGGAGUUAGAAUCUCCUUUCUUUGA
rnacentral:tRNA from 1 species